GUCCGGCCCCAGUGCGGCUAAGGCCGCUUUGGGCCGUUCCUCCGCACAUCAGAAUUGGAGAGGACUGAACCUGCAGCGGGUGCAGGAGGAGCUGGCCCGAGCCCCGAGUGGGCCCGAGGUCCCGAAAUCCGAGUCCUCAGGAGGCGCCCGUCUGGGAGCCGGCCCCGGCGAGGCAGGAAUGGCCCCGAGGCCUCCGACGGCCGCGCCCCAGCUGAUUCUGACCUCUGGAGUUUCGAAGGUGCCUGAGUCAAGGUCUUGACCCUUUGGGAGCACAGUGAAUCAUAGGUAACAGUUACUAUAAUGUAGUGUCUUAGGAGCUUGCUGGAGAGGGAUCAAGGGAGGAGGGUCGUGGGAGGUGUGAGGCACUUGGCCCAGACCUGGGGUUAGGAGAGGAGCCCCAGAGGGGAGAACUUUACAGAGUCUUGGUGAUAGAAUAAAUGUUACCUCCACAGAGGAGGGAAGGCCAAGCAUUUUUACAGAGGCCAAAGAGAGUGUUUAGUUUCAAGUUCUAACUCUUCUUCAGGCUGAAUUAUGGUGUCGGAGGGAAGGAGAAGCCAGAGAUGAGGCUGUGGAAGUAAGGUGGGGACCAGGUUAUGAAGGACUCUGAAGGUCACAUGAAGGGAUGUAAUUUUUAAUCUCAAGAAAAACAUUUAUUGGGUGCCUGGGUGGCUCAGUCGG